UUUGCCCUCAGAAGGGAAAUACACCAGAAUUCUCAUUAUGUUCUGGGCUUCCUUCCUUCUCUCGAUGCUGGUCAACUCCUCAGGAUCCUUUGCCCAGUAUGUCCUGACCCAGCCGGCAUCUGUGUCUGUCUCCCUGGGGCAGAAUGAAACGAUCACUUGUUCAGCAACGAGAGAAGGAAGGAAAUGCACACUGAAUUUGCAUAAGGGAGUAAAGCCAGAUCCUUGGGGGGGUUUAAAAGGAAGAAGGCAGUUUCCCAACCUGAGUUUCCGAAAAGAUCAGUUCCCCAUCAUGGCCUGGUCUCUGCUCUUGGCUUUCUUCUUCUUAUGGUGCACAGGAGCCAACUCACAGUUUACCUUGACUCAACCUGCAGCACAAUCGUUUCCCCCCGGACAACCAGCAAAGAUCUCGUGUACCAUGAGCCAAAGCAGGCAUGUGGGCAGCUAUACCAUAUAUUGGUACCAACAGAAGGCUGGAGAGAGCCCCAAAUACCUUCUCUCUGAUAGCAACAGCAACGGACGAUUCACAGGGUCCAAGGACACCUCGGCCAAUGUAGCCUAUUUAACCAUUACAAACCUCCAGGAUGAGGAUGAGGCUGAUUACUAUUGUGGUGGUUAUUACAACGAUGGCAGCAACUCCUGCCCAGUUUCACUUCUUCUCACUCUGCUUGGCUAA